CCUGGGCUAAAUCAUACAGAGACGUAUUGGGAAACCAGUAUUCUCUUCGGAGCCGGUAUGAAGGUGCUGCAUGGCUGUCGUCAGCUCGUGCCGUGAGGUGUUGCCUUAAGUGGCGCAACGAGCGCAACCCCUGUGACUAGUUACCAGCACAUAAUGGUGGGGACUCUAGUCAGACUGCCUACGCAAGUAGUGAGGAAGGUGGGGACGACGUCAAGUCAUCAUGGCCCUUACGUCCAGGGCUGCACACGUGCUACAAUGGUUAGUACAGAGGGAAGCCACCUGGUGACAGGGAGCA
rnacentral:rRNA from 1 species